AGCGAACGCUGGCGGCAUGCCUAACACAUGCAAGUCGAACGAGAUCUUCGGGUCUAGUGGCGCACGGGUGCGUAACGCGUGGGAAUCUGCCCUUUGGUUCGGAAUAACAGUUGGAAACGACUGCUAAUACCGGAUGAUGACGAAAGUCCAAAGAUUUAUCGCCAGAGGAUGAGCCCGCGUAGGAUUAGCUAGUUGGUGUGGUAAAGGCGCACCAAGGCGACGAUCCUUAGCUGGUCUGAGAGGAUGAUCAGCCACACUGGGACUGAGACACGGCCCAGACUCCUACGGGAGGCAGCAGUGGGGAAUAUUGGACAAUGGGCGAAAGCCUGAUCCAGCAAUGCCGCGUGAGUGAUGAAGGCCUUAGGGUUGUAAAGCUCUUUUACCCGGGAUGAUAAUGACAGUACCGGGAGAAUAAGCUCCGGCUAACUCCGUGCCAGCCGCCGCGGUAC
rnacentral:rRNA from 1 species